rnacentral:rRNA from 1 species
CUACGGGGUGCACCAGUGGGGAAUAUUGGACAAUGGGGGAAACCCUGAUCCAGCAAUGCCGCGUGUGUGAAGAAGGCCUGCGGGUUGUAAAGCACUUUCGGUUGGGAGGACUGCUUCUAGCACUAAUAUUGUUGGAAGUUGACGUUACCUUCAGAAGAAGCACCGGCUAACUCCGUGCCGAGCAGCCGCGGUAAUACGGGGGGUGCAAGCGUUAAUCGGAAUUACUGGGCGUAAAGCGCGCGUAGGCGGCUAGAUCAGUCGGGUGUGAAAGCCCCGGGCUUAACCUGGGAACUGCAUCCGAUACUGUCGAGCUUGAGUACAGGAGAGGAAAGUGGAAUUCCACAUGUAGCGGUGAUAUGCGUAGAUAUGUGGAGGAACACCAAUGGCGAAGGCAGCUCUCUGGCCUGAUACUGACGCUGAGGUGCGAAAGCGUGGGGAGCAAACAGGAUUAGAUACCCUAGUAGUC